AAGGUUUUAAGUUAAUAAAACUGAAGAUUUUCAAAAUCUUUAAUAAAUAAAUUGUUUAAAUCUUG
rnacentral:tRNA from 1 species